rnacentral:rRNA from 1 species
CAGUCGAACGAGUUCUCGUUGAUGAUCGGUGCUUGCACUGAGAUUCAACAUGGAACGAGUGGCGGACGGGUGAGUAACACGUGGGUAACCUGCCCUUAAGUGGGGGAUAACAUUUGGAAACAGAUGCUAAUACCGCAUAGAUCCAAGAACCGCAUGGUUCUUGGCUGAAAGAUGGCGUAAGCUAUCGCUUUUGGAUGGACCCGCGGCGUAUUAGCUAGUUGGUGAGGUAAUGGCUCACCAAGGCGAUGAUACGUAGCCGAACUGAGAGGUUGAUCGGCCACAUUGGGACUGAGACACGGCCCAAACUCCUACGGGAGGCAGCAGUAGGGAAUCUUCCACAAUGGACGCAAGUCUGAUGGAGCAACGCCGCGUGAGUGAAGAAGGCUUUCGGGUCGUAAAACUCUGUUGUUGGAGAAGAAUGGUCGGCAGAGUAACUGUUGUCGGCGUGACGGUAUCCAACCAGAAAGCCACGGCUAACUACGUGCCAGCAGCCGCGGUAAUACGUAGGUGGCAAGCGUUAUCCGGAUUUAUUGGGCGUAAAGCGAGCGCAGGCGGUUUUUUAAGUCUGAUGUGAAAGCCCUCGGCUUAACCGAGGAAGCGCAUCGGAAACUGGGAAACUUGAGUGCAGAAGAGGACAGUGGAACUCCAUGUGUAGCGGUGAAAUGCGUAGAUAUAUGGAAGAACACCAGUGGCGAAGGCGGCUGUCUGGUCUGUAACUGACGCUGAGGCUCGAAAGCAUGGGUAGCGAACAGGAUUAGAUACCCUGGUAGUCCAUGCCGUAAACGAUGAAUGCUAGGUGUU